GUGUAAGAACUCGAUCCUCACACUAGUAAUACACACGCGUAAAAACCGAUAACAGAAAAUGGCGCCAGCAUCUUUUCCGUAUACGACAAUCGCUGGAAUCCUUAGCACAAGCAAGGUCAUUGUCAGACGACGAGUAUUCUUCUUUUAUAGUUAUACUGUCAAAUGAUUGACCACACACAUCGCACUUGGUGUCUGCAUUUUUGCUAUCUUUAACAGGACGUCCACGAGCAUCUAUUUCUUUAUUUGCAUGUUUUCUAAAAAAAUAAAAUUCCAUAUUAAUAUAUAUAUUC
rnacentral:lncRNA from 1 species